UUAAACUCGUGCAGUGGAAGUGGAAGUUCUACUUGUUUAUUGAGUGAAAAGAGAGCUCAACUGCUGAAAAACUUAUUAAAAUAUGGAAGCUAUGGAAUAUGAAAAUUCUCCAAUUCCAUGUUUCCACAUAGUAUAUGCUUAUUCACAUAGGUGUGCUUAAUGAAAAAUCAUACUUUGCAGUUUUGUGAAACCCUGCACAGAAUAAGUAGAUAUUCAUUAUAUGUUAUGCUGAAUGCUUGUGCUUUGAGUGAUAUUAAAUAUGAGUUUUUUUAAUAAUUGUACAGACAUCUAACAUCAAUGGGCGAUGAACAGCAGUUCUCCACGGCCUUCCACUCUUCCUUGAAAAGGACCUUACUGAUUUUUACAAGACAUGUUUUGACUAUGAUGAAGAAGAGAUGUCAGUCGGCCUAUUGACCGUGAUCCCUGAGCGGAGGACUCUAGAGCCAUGCCCAACUCACUGCAUUUAAUGCCAUGUCUACUGCAAUAAUUUUGGAAGGUACAAUUGUAUUGGAUGAUCUGGAAAAUCCUCCCCAAGAUAUGCCUGCUCUUUGGACUUGGAUUUAUGCUAUGAAAUUAUAGUAUCCUCCAGUACUGAAGGACACCUUUGAUUUCAUUCAAUGGCUGAACCUAGAAUGCAAUCUCUGAAAAAUCUUCUGAUGUAGAAAGAUGUCAUUG